rnacentral:rRNA from 1 species
CAAUAGCGUAUAUUAAAGUUGUUGCAGUUAAAAAGCUCGUAGUUGAAUUUCUGUGUCUGCCGGUGCACCCAUUCGGGCUCGCACCCGCAGAGACAUCCUCGCCCUUUCUGGGGCGUCAUUUACUGUGAAGAAAUUAGAGUGUUUAAAGCAGGCUUUAGGCUUGAAUACAUUAGCAUGGAAUAAUAAGAUAGGACCUGAAUUGCUAUUUUGUUGGUUGCGCAUUUGGGUAAUGAUUAAUAGGGACAGUUGGGGGCAUUCAUAUUUAACUGUCAGAGGUGAAAUCCUAUGACCUGUUAAAGAUGAACUACUGCGAAAGCAUUUGCCAAGGAUGUUUUCAUUAA